UAUUAAGCAGUGUGCAAAGAAUCUACAAGGAAAUUACUUGAAAAAGAAAGAAAAAGAAGCAAACGCCUGUGAAAUUAACCUGGCUGAUCUAAGCCACUCCUCAUAAAGAUUCCCUUUCCAACCCUUCACCAUUUUAGUGGCCCUCCUUUGGGCACUCUCUAAUAGCUCAGUGUACUUUUUUAUGUUGUGGUGCCCAAAACUGCACAGUGGACUUGAGGGCACCACAGCACAGAGCAGGGUGGGACAAUCCCCUCCCUUGCCCUGCUGAUUCCCCCAUCUGUCCAUACAACCAGGGUUUCCCUUUCCCAGGAGCAGAAUCCAGCACUAACCCUUGUUAAAUUUCAUGUGGUUUUAAAGGGACUGAACCCCCCAUGGAACAGGUUGCUGCCCAGAGGGCAGAGGUUACAACAAACACAGGCACCGAAGUGAACACCCUGACUCAUAAAGCCCUGCUGACAUUUUCUUGCUCAAAUGCAGGGCCCAGGUGGGUUUGGAUUCUUGCUGAUCUACAAAGAAUUCCCACAUCGUGGUCAGUUUUCAGCUGGCUUAGAUAUACCAGGUUCUUCCUGCCAUCACAAUUUGGAGGCUGCUGGGUUGAAGAUCACCUCCAUCAGGUUCCAAAACCCAGUGAGUGCUGCAGCCAAGGAAAUUCUCCUUCAGAAGAUGUUUUAGAGUUGCCUUUUCCUGCAGAUAUUUGAAUUGGAUGACUCCUCAAAUUACACAGUAUCUGAGAAGCCAUGAAAUAGCUGCAGAGAACUUAAAAGAGAUCUUCAUCUGGAUGAAUUAUUAGUGAUGGGAAAAAAAAAUCUACAUCUUUGAAGGAUGUCUUACACUUCGAACUACAGUUCUCUGGCAACUUUCACCACAGAGGUCUCAUGCUUGCUUUAAUAAAUGACUGAAGUGCCUAGACA
rnacentral:lncRNA from 1 species